AUGCACGCUGGCGGCGUGCUUAACACAUGCCAGUCGAACGAUGAAGCCCAGCUUGCUGGGUGGAUUAGUGGCGAACGGGUGAGUAACACGUGAGUAACCUGCCCUUUACUCUGGGAUAAGCCUGGGAAACUGGGUCUAAUACUGGAUAUGACUUCUCAUCGCAUGGUGGGGGGUGGAAAGAUUUAUUGGUCUUGGAUGGACUCGCGGCCUAUCAGCUUGUUGGUGAGGUAAUGGCUCACCAAGGCGACGACGGGUAGCCGGCCUGAGAGGGUGACCGGCCACACUGGGACUGAGACACGGCCCAGACUCCUACGGGAGGCAGCAGUGGGGAAUAUUGCACAAUGGGCGCAAGCCUGAUGCAGCGACGCCGCGUGAGGGAUGACGGCCUUCGGGUUGUAAACCUCUUUCAGUAGGGAAGAAGCGAGAGUGACGGUACCUGCAGAAGAAGCGCCGGCUAACUACGUG
rnacentral:rRNA from 1 species